rnacentral:rRNA from 1 species
AGUGAACGCUGGCGGUAGGCCUAACACAUGCAAGUCGAACGGCAGCACAGGAGAGCUUGCUCUCUGGGUGGCGAGUGGCGGACGGGUGAGGAAUACAUCGGAAUCUACUCUGUCGUGGGGGAUAACGUAGGGAAACUUACGCUAAUACCGCAUACGACCUACGGGUGAAAGCAGGGGAUCUUCGGACCUUGCGCGAUUGAAUGAGCCGAUGUCGGAUUAGCUAGUUGGCGGGGUAAAGGCCCACCAAGGCGACGAUCCGUAGCUGGUCUGAGAGGCUGAUCGGCAACACGGGAGCUGAGACACGGUCCAGACUCCUACGGGAGGCAGCAGUGGGGGAUAUUGGACAAUGGGCGCAAGCCUGAUCCAGCCAUACCGCGUGGGUGAAGAAGGCCUUCGGGUUGUAAAGCCCUUUUGUUGGGAAAGAAAUCCAGCUGGCUAAUACCCGGUUGGGAUGACGGUACCCAAAGAAUAAGCACCGGCUAACUUCGUGCCAGCCGCCGCGGUAA